GACAGAGGGUGCAAACGUUGUUCGGAAUUAUUGGGCGUAAAGGGCGCGUAGGCGGUGCGGUAAGUCACCUGUGAAAUCUCCUGGCUCAACUGGGAGUCUGCAGGCGAAACUGCCGUGCUGGAGUAUGGGAGAGGUGCGUGGAAUUCCUGGUGUAGCGGUGAAAUGCGUAGAUAUCGGGAGGAACACCUGUGGCGAAAGCGGCGCACUGGACCAUAACUGACGCUGAGGCGCGAAAGCUAGGGGAGCAAACAGG
rnacentral:rRNA from 1 species